GACGAACGCUGGCGGCGUGCUUAACACAUGCAAGUCGAACGGAAAGCCCCUGCUUUUGUGGUUUGCUCGAGUGGCGAACGGGUGAGUAACACGUGAGUAACCUGCCCUUGACUUUGGGAUAACUUCAGGAAACUGGGGCUAAUACCGGAUAGGAGCUCCUGCUGCAUGGUGGGGGUUGGAAAGUUUCGGCGGUUGGGGAUGGACUCGCGGCUUAUCAGCUUGUUGGUGGGGUAGUGGCUUACCAAGGCUUUGACGGGUAGCCGGCCUGAGAGGGUGACCGGCCACAUUGGGACUGAGAUACGGCCCAGACUCCUACGGGAGGCAGCAGUGGGGAAUAUUGCACAAUGGGCGGAAGCCUGAUGCAGCAACGACGCGUGCGGGAUGACGGACGUCGGGUUGUAAACCGCUUUCGCCUGUGACGAAGCGGGAGUGACGGUAAUGGGUAAAGAAGCACCGGCUAACUACGUG
rnacentral:rRNA from 1 species